rnacentral:rRNA from 1 species
UACGUAGGGAGCAAGCGUUGUCCGGAAUCAUUGGGCGUAAAGCGCGCGUAGGUGGCCCCAUAAGUCCGCUGUGAAAGUCAAAGGCUCAACCUUUGAAAGCCGGUGGAUACUGUGGGACUAGAGUACGGAAGAGGCGAGUGGAAUUCCUGGUGUAGUGGUGAAAUGCGUAGAUAUCGGGAGGAACACCAGUGGCGAAGGCGGCUUCCUGGCCUGUUCUUGACGCUGAGGCGCGAAAGCUAGGGUAGCAAACGGG